CCCCAGUAGCGGCGAGUGAAGCGGCAAGAGCUCAGAUUUGAAAUCGUGUUUCGGCACGAGUUGUAGAGUGUAGGCGGGAGUCUCUGUGGAGCGCGGUGUCCAAGUCCCUUGGAACAGGGUGCCUGAGAGGGUGAGAGCCCCGUAGGGUGCUGCGCGAAGCUUUUGAGGCCCUGCUGACGAGUCGAGUUGUUUGGGAAUGCAGCUCCAAGCGGGUGGUAAAUUCCAUCUAAGGCUAAAUAUUGGCGRGAGACCGAUAGCGAACAAGUACUGUGAAGGAAAGAUGAAAAGCACUUUGAAAAGAGAGUGAAACAGCACGUGAAAUUGUUGAAAGGGAAGGGUAUUGGGCUCGACAUGGGGGGUGCGCACCGCUGUCUCUUGUAGGCGGCGCUCUGGGCGCCCUCUGGGCCAGCAUCGGUUCCUGCUGCGGGAGAAGGGGCUCCGGAAAGUGGCUCUUCGGAGUGUUAUAGCCGGGGCCAGAUGCCGCGUGUGGGGACCGAGGACUGCGGCUUCUGUCUCGGAUGCUG
rnacentral:rRNA from 1 species